rnacentral:rRNA from 1 species
UACAGAGGAUGCAAGCGUUAUCCGGAAUGAUUGGGCGUAAAGAGUCCGUAGGUGGCUCUGUAAGUCUGUGGUUAAAGCGUGGAGCUUAACUCCAUACCGGCCAUAGAAACUACAGAGCUAGAGUAAGGUAGGGGUAGAGGGAAUUCUCGGUGUAGCGGUGAAAUGCGUAGAUAUCGGGAAGAACACCGGUGGCGAAGGCGCUCUACUGGACCUUAACUGACACUGAGGGACGAAAGCUAGGGGAGCGAAAGGG